rnacentral:rRNA from 1 species
UACGUAGGGGGCGAGCGUUGUCCGGAUUUAUUGGGCGUAAAGAGCGUGUAGGCGCCAGGUAGGUCUGCUGUGAAAACUCGAGGCUCAACCUCGAGACGUCGGCGGAAACCAUCUGGCUAGAGUCCGGAAGAGGAGAGUGGAAUUCCUGGUGUAGCGGUGAAAUGCGCAGAUAUACAGGAAGAACACCCGUGGCGAAGGCGGCUCUCUGGGACGGUACUGACGCUGAGACGCGAAAGCGUGGGGAGCGAACAGG